UACGUAGGGUGCAAGCGUUAAUCGGAAUUACUGGGCGUAAAGCGUGCGCAGGCGGCUUUGCAAGACAGAUGUGAAAUCCCCGGGCUUAACCUGGGAACUGCAUUUGUGACUGCAUGGCUGGAGUGCGGCAGAGGGGGAUGGAAUUCCGCAUGUAGCAGUGAAAUGCGUAGAUAUGCGGAGGAACACCGAUGGCGAAGGCAAUCCCCUGGGCCUGCACUGACGCUCAUGCACGAAAGCGUGGGGAGCAAACAGG
rnacentral:rRNA from 1 species